UUUCCUGAUUUGUCAGGUAGGUGCUUAGG
rnacentral:piRNA from 1 species